GCCCGGAUGGUGGAAUCGGUAGACACAAGGGACUGUGUGGGUUCAAGUCCCACUCCGGGUACCA
rnacentral:tRNA from 1 species